UUUUAAUCCCUGCUUCUCGCCCGCUCCCCACGUCAAGCCAUUCAAAGAGCUCUGCUUCCAUACGCUUGAUCUGAUCGAGGAACUAAGCCCUUUUGCAGAACCUUUAGAGACUCGGUUAUUUUAUAUACCCUAGCAUAUACAAAAAUAAAAACCCUAAUUCUUUAUCCUUCCACGACAACCCUUCCUUUCCUCCCCCUCUCUAUCCUCCCACGGUAUUCUGUUGUUGAAGAUGUCGGCUCCGGCACCAGCACCUCCAGCUCUGUACGCCGGCGGUUCCCUCUGGCGGCUCAUCCGGAGAUGAUGAGAGCGGCGCACUCACACUUUAUUGGUGAUUGAAGUUUCAUUUGGUGCCACGGUUUGUUCAGAUGGCGUAUGGACAAAAGGGACGUGGUAAGAAAUACGUUCAUCAUGCAAAAGAAGAGAAGUAUGAACUAUAUCCUGAAAUCAAAGAAUUCCCUGAUGUUAAUCUCAAACAUAAAGAAGAUUUCAGUAAAUUAAUAUCAUGGGGUGAUUGCAAAAGUUUUGGGUUUCAUCUCCUUAUUAUUUGGAGGCUGCGGGUCAAGAUUCUUAAAGUAAGCAUUCUUUAUACUUAACUGUUUCCGUUUUAAAAGACUGAUAUGUAAGUUUUGGUAUAUAGUUAGAAAACACAUGGUUUGCCAUUAUAAUUUAGAAAAUACUUACCCGCUUUCACAAUUGCCCAUUUGAGUGAUGACAGCUGGUCUUCCUCCAACUAUCACCAGGUAAGUGCAGAAUAGUUCUUUCUAAUGAAGAUCUGGUGCAGUCGGCUACUGUAUUUGCUCAUUACUUAUACAGGUAUUUUUUGGGGGCGCAAUGGAUCAUCAAAAUCUAGUUCCACUGAGAGCUUAUUAUUACAAUAAAGAAGAGAAGCUGCUUGUCUACGAUUAUAUGCCAAUGGGAAGUCUUUCUGCACUUCUUCAUGUAUCAGUCAGAUGAGGCGUGCAUGCGUACGUACGGUGCAGUGUGGUGCUGCUGAUGAGGCGUGCGUGCGGUGUAUUCGCUGCUACUGCGUGCGGCUUUUCUGCUGCGGUAUGCGUAGAAUACAGUGCUGCUGCUGAGGCGUUCGUGUAGUGCAGUCGACACUGUUGCGUGCGGCGCUGCUGCUGCUGCGACUGUUUGAUGAGCUUGAUUAACCGCUGGCAUUAACUUUAUAUCUUUCCUCUUAAUAAAUCAAUAAUCAUAGGGAGCUUGCAAAAGAUUUUGUGGUGGCUGGUACUACAUCAGAGUCUCUGUAUGGUGCCUGUGAGUCGAUGUUCAAGCCAGACAUGGUACAAGGUGGAUAAAGAUGCUAUGCUCGAUAUGAUGUCACAAAUUGAAGCUACAUUAACAAGUACAAUUUGAAGAUAGGCUACAAACACUUGGUUUUCAAUGUUUAUCGUAUUAGGAUUUUUUAAGUUAUUUGAUGUUUUAGCUGGUAUUUCUAUUAGAAUGUUUUAUACGCUUUCGAUACACAUAUGUUUUAUAUAAUUUUGGGUUUUCGU
rnacentral:lncRNA from 1 species